GAUGAACGCUGGCGGCGUGCCUAAUACAUGCAAGUCGAGCGAACGGACGAGAAGCUUGCUUCUCUGAUGUUAUCGGCGGACGGGUGAGUAACACGUGGAUAACCUACCUAUAAGGCUGGGAUAACUUCGGGAAACCGGAGCUAAUACCGGAUAAUAUUUUGAACCGCAUGGUUCAAAAGUGAAAGACGGUCUUGCUGUCACUUAUAGAUGGAUCCGCGCUGCAUUAGCUAGUUGGUAAGGUAACGGCUUACCAAGGCAACGAUGCAUAGCCGACCUGAGAGGGUGAUCGGCCACACUGGAACUGAGACACGGUCCAGACUCCUGCGGGAGGCAGCAGUAGGGAAUCUUCCGCAAUGGGCGAAAGCCUGACGGAGCAACGCCGCGUGAGUGAUGAAGGUCUUCGGAUCGUAAAACUCUGUUAUUAGGGAAGAACAUAUGUGUAAGUAACUGUGCACAUCUUGACGGUACCUAAUCAGAAAGCCACGGCUAACUACGUG
rnacentral:rRNA from 1 species